rnacentral:tRNA from 1 species
GGGGCUGUAGCUCAGUGGUAGAGUGCCCGCCUCGCAUGUGUGAGGCACUGGGUUUGAUCCUCAGCACUACA